rnacentral:rRNA from 1 species
GACGAACGCUGGCGGCGUGCCUAAUACAUGCAAGUCGAGCGAAGUUUUUCUGGUGCUUGCACUAGAAAAACUUAGCGGCGAACGGGUGAGUAACACGUAAAGAACCUGCCUCAUAGACUGGGACAACUAUUGGAAACGAUAGCUAAUACCGGAUAACAGUAUUUCUCGCAUGAGAGAUAUUUAAAAGUUGGUUAUGCUAACACUAUGAGAUGGCUUUGCGGUGCAUUAGCUAGUUGGUGGGGUAAAGGCCCACCAAGGCGACGAUGCAUAGCCGACCUGAGAGGGUGAUCGGCCACACUGGGACUGAGACACGGCCCAGACUCCUACGGGAGGCAGCAGUAGGGAAUCUUCCGCAAUGGGCGAAAGCCUGACGGAGCAACGCCGCGUGAGUGAAGAAGGAUUUCGGUUCGUAAAGCUCUGUUGUUAGGGAAGAAUGGAUAUGUAGUAACUAUACAUGUAAGAGACGGUACCUAACCAGAGAGCCACGGCUAACUACGUG